GGUAGGACUACCCGCUGAACUUAAGCAUAUCAAUA
rnacentral:rRNA from 6 species